UCUAGGACAGAUCGCUUAAAGGGUUGAGUCACGAGAGUGAUUCCCCGGCCACAUCUCCCCACCCUCCGUCUGAUCGGGGUGGAUCCGAGGUGUCGACUUGACCGGACUGCUGCUUGUGAUGCGAUUAAGCAAGCUUAAGACCAAUCGAUAAGCCCCGCUCAGGUGUGUCACCCAGCAUAGCGUGGUCGAAAACCCAACAGGUGACUAAGCAUGUAGACGGUACGGUGCUUCCUUAUCUGGACGUGGGUUCGAAUCCCACCAGCUCCACCA
rnacentral:tmRNA from 1 species